CUAUGUUUAUGGAGUAUUCAUUUAGUACCAAGGAACUGUUAAAUGGUUCACAUAUGUUAUCAUACUUGAUUUAAUCCAUAAACCAACCUGUGAGGAAACCUGUCCAGCCCACCUUCCUUUUGUCUCUUUUUCUACAGUGGUCAGACCUUCUUUUCAGCCUGAAACUUUCUCCCUAGCAUCUCUAGCUUCUUCUCUCAAUAAAUGUCUUUCCUACUCCUCUACUGUGGUCUGCUUGUCCACAAACUUGAAAUAACAUAUAAAGCAAAGGAGAAAUUCUGAGAGAAUGUAAAUUUUCCUGGGUUAAAGGACCCCUUUGGAAAAUACUUUCUUUCGGAUGUGUCAGAGAUGGAGCAGGUUAUCCAUGGGAAUAACAAGUUCUUUGUGCAUUUUCAGACUGCUGAAGUCAUAUGGUAAGCAGAGGGUUAAAGAAAUGUGCCUCUGACAAGUAUCUUGAUUAGCUGCUGCCUUAAGGAAAGUCCUUGAUGACACCUCAGCUGAUAGAAAAGUAAAAUGAACAACGCCUUCAAAUAAUGGAGUAAAAAAACAUAGUGAGAUGUAGUGAAAAACAUAAAGGCUUUAGAAUCAGCAAGCUAUGAGUUGGAAACCACAACAACAAACCACUAAUGAAGUCUGUGUGAUCUUGGACAAGUUAUUGACAUUCUCUGGCUCUGUUUUCUCACCUAUGAAAUGUGAGUAACGUGUUUCUUUGAGUUGCUGAGGAGUAAAGUAGAUUUAUGUGGGUGGUAAGAGUAACGUUGGUUCUGUUUUUAAAUUCUGUAUGAAUCCUGGAUGCACAAGCACAGUUGCAUAUAUACCUUAAAAAAUGUUAAUUUAAAAUAAUUUAAUUGUGGAGACUUAAGAUUUAUCAAGUUGCUGUUGGAGUAUAUGUCAACUAUAUAUAAUAUUAAAUAUUAGGCAGACUGUAUACAUACCAAACAUGCAGGCCCCCAAAACAGGAUCCUCAUUCAUGGUCAAUACAUUUAUUGUGGCUUUUGGGUGGUGAAUCUUAUAAAUUAUAUUUGAGAUCUAGUUUAUUCAAAGCAUUAUAGUACAUUUAUUAUUUAGCUCAUUAGUGCGGUAACAGAAAGCACUUUUAAAGGGGUAAGAUGAUCAGUCCUUAUCCCUGUGACUCUGUGCAUUUUCUUAGAGGUCUCUGUAAGAUUUUUCAGCUGGAUUAACUAAUGCAGAUGUGUGUAUACCUAUAACUCUAUCAGAAAUUAUGUAUAAAGAAGGAGAGAGGACCUAAGGAUCUACCAAAUCAGAAUAGCUUUUGGCUCUGAAAAUAGGAGAAAAUAUUGGCUAUGGUCAAAAAGUUCUCUCUUUGAGUCAAAACCUUUCUUGGCUUUGACAUUUUGAUGAUGACUCAAAGUACAGAAAAAAAAUCUACAAAAAUAGAUCUGCAAAUAUUUUAGAUGCUCCUCAGACAGACUAAAACUUCAAGAUAUCACAAACAUUUUAUGCCUGUCUCUUUAUAGGAAAAAGAAAUAAGAAAUAGAUGUAAUUUCUUCCCACCUGUAACUGGUGCCUACAAACAACACUGCCCUCUGGAAUAAUUAAGUCUAUUUUGGGGCAAGGGCCUGGGUGGGGAAGCAGAAGGGACAAGGAAGAGGAUGAGAAAUGGGAAGAAGGGUUGUAACUGUUACUUUUUCCCUUUAUUUUAGGAAAAAAAAUAUUUCCUUGUCGGUUUUUUUUGUUUUGUUUUUUGUUUGUUUAUUUGUUUUUUGAAUCUGAGAAGACUGGCCAGAUGAGGACCUGGGAAGCCAGGAAGGCUUCUCAGGAAGGGACACAGCAGGCAGGCCAAACUCUCAAGAAGACUCUUGCUCUCAAACCACACAUCAGCUCUGCCCCUGAGGGCCCUGACCCAGUGGGAGAGGAAAUGGCCCAUGGCUGCUCCCCCCUCGGCUCCUCCACCCUUGGGUGACCCUACCAACGGCAGCCACGAAUGAAUUACUUCAGCCCCCCAACCAUCUUCAGCGGGUAAAUUGCUCCUGCCCCGAGUGCCCACCUGUCAUAGCCUCUGUCAUCUUCAACAUCAGGCAACUAAAGGGUCAAUGCUUUGCCAGCAAGAGGCCUUUGGGGGAGCCAAGGCUCCUGCCCAGGAGAGUGGCUGCAGCCCAAAAGGAUGCAGCUGCUGACAGUCUUGAGUACUCCCACCCCUGCUUACAGUCCGUGUGGGCAACAUAAAUUCCCAGCUGUACUGGCCAUCAGGUGGGGGACCCAGCAUCCAUUCUUUUUUUUUUUAAAUAAAUUUAUUUUUUA